rnacentral:rRNA from 1 species
GAUAAUACCGAAUACGAUCACAUGGAUUAUGAUUGAGUGAUGAAAGGCGCUACGGCGCCGCCUUGAGAUGGGCCCGCGUCCCAUUAGCUAGUUGGUGUAGUAAAGGUGCACCAAGGCGAAGAUGGGUAGCCGGCCUGAGAGGGUGAACGGCCACAUUGGGACUGAGAUACGGCCCAAACUCCUACGGGAGGCAGCAGCUAAGAAUAUUCCGCAAUGGACGGAAGUCUGACGGAGCGACGCCGCGUGGAUGAAGAAGGCCGAAAGGUUGUAAAAUCCUUUUGCAGACGAAGAAUAAGCGCGGGAGGGAAUGCCCGUGUGAUGACGCUAGUCUGCGAAUAAGCCCCGGCUAAUUACGUGCCAGCAGCCGCGGUAACACGUAAGGGGCGAGCGUUGUUCGGAAUUAUUGGGCGUAAAGGGCGCGUAGGCGGCCGUGUAAGUCUGAUGUGAAAUGUCCGGGCUCAACCCGGGAACUGCAUUGGAAACUGUGCGGCUUGAGUCACAGAGGGGGAAUCGGAAUUCCUGGUGUAGGGGUGAAAUCUGUAGAUAU